CGAGGCCCGUAGUAAGCCUAAAUUAUCCCAUCUGUCUACCUAUCUUGCCCAAUUAAUUCAUCAAAACAGUAAGCCUCGAUCUCAAUUAACACAUAAUAUCUAACCAGGGCCUAUUCACAAUAAAUUAUAAUCACAUUGUGGGCUUACUGGUUCACCUGCAGCUAAUUACAUAAUAUUUAAUUUAUAGUGUAGUGCUAACAAUAAGUCCAAUAGUAAUAUACAACCCUAUAACUGCGGAGUUCAAUAAUAAUCUGAUAAUAGAGUAACUUAUACAUCCAAAAUUAAAUAACAGAAAUAUAAAAUUUACAUUUAUAACUCUGCGGAGAAGAUUGCAGAGCUUCAGUCAAUCAGCUGCUUCCUAGUACCUGGGAGGUUUGGAGAGAAGGGGGUGAGUUUUGCAACUCAGUGAAUAAUAAUAAAUAAUACACACCACAUACAGUCACACGGAAUGCGCCCUAAUAUACUGAAUGAUCACACAACAAUCAAUCAUAUGGCAUAACAUCAGCACCCACAAACAAUAUCACCUUCAAAUAAUCACAUCACGUGGAAAUUAGUCAGUGGAGUCACCGAACCCCCGAUGAGCCGUCCUCCCACAUGGCUCAUCCUCUCACAUGUGCACCAGGGAGCCGAUCCCCCAUACUGGCCGACCGGUCUAAUCCUCACUUGACCAGCCCUCUCAUUGUUUUUCCAUUAUCUCUUUUCUUUUCCAUACC
rnacentral:lncRNA from 1 species